rnacentral:tRNA from 1 species
GAAGCUGUGUCCGAAUUUAAGAGCCACUUUGAUAGGGUGGAAUAUGAAGGUGAAAACCCCUCCAGCUUCU